rnacentral:rRNA from 1 species
GAUGAACGCUGGCGGCGUGCCUAAUACAUGCAAGUCGAGCGAACAGACGAGGAGCUUGCUCCUCUGACGUUAGCGGCGGACGGGUGAGUAACACGUGGAUAACCUACCUAUAAGACUGGGAUAACUUCGGGAAACCGGAGCUAAUACCGGAUAAUAUAUUGAACCGCAUGGUUCAAUAGUGAAAGACGGGUUUGCUGUCACUUAUAGAUGUAUCCGCGCCGCAUUAGCUAGUUGGUAAGGUAACGGCUUACCAAGGCAACGAUGCGUAGCCGACCUGAGAGGGUGAUCGGCCACACUGGAACUGAGACACGGUCCAGACUCCUACGGGAGGCAGCAGUAGGGAAUCUUCCGCAAUGGGCGAAAGCCUGACGGAGCAACGCCGCGUGAGUGAUGAAGGUGUUCGGAUCGUAAAACUCUGUUAUUAGGGAAGAACAAAUGUGUAAGUAACUAUGCACGUCUUGACGGUACCUAAUCAGAAAGCCACGGCUAACUACGUG